UCCGGUUUGUCACCGGCAGUCUCAUUAGAGUGCCCUUUCGUAGCAACUAAUGACAAGGGUUGCGCUCGUUGCGGGACUUAACCCAACAUCUCACGACACGAGCUGACGACAGCCAUGCAGCACCUGUGUGCAGGUUCCCUUUCGGGCACCCCCCGAUCUCUCGGGGGUUCCUGCCAUGUCAAGGGUAGGUAAGGUUUUUCGCGUUGCAUCGAAUUAAUCCACAUCAUCCACCGCUUGUGCGGGUCCCCGUCAAUUCCUUUGAGUUUUAAUCUUGCGACCGUACUCCCCAGGCGGUCAACUUCACGCGUUAGCUGCGUUACCAAGUCAAUCAAGACCCGACAACUAGUUGACAUCGUUUAGGGCGUGGACUAC
rnacentral:misc_RNA from 1 species